UGCUACGUCGUCAGAAGUGGGCGGGAGGGACGGCCCACAAAAUGGCGACCGGACUGAGGGAAGGCAAACAAGCAGAGGGAAAAAACCAUGCAGGGGAAUAAAACACAGAGUGGGAGCAAUAUAAAGAAUUUAAGAACCUAAAUAAGAGAUUGAAGUUGUGGCUCGGACUGGAAGCCGUUGGAAAAAGUAUUUUGGGGGUUUCCUGCCAGGGCCAGAAUCUAUUUGCCCCGCUCCCUAGGGUGCUGUCUUGCACCAACAACGGGAGAAAUGGCCGCAGGAGAUCGUUGUACACAGCUGCUCACUCUCCAUGCACCACGCCAGUCUCAGCGUGCGCUACUGAACAGCUCCUCCCUUCGGAAACCCCUUGUAACCCAACUCUGCUGCAAAAUGGAUGUAAAGUCUGACGACGAGGAUGAGAGUAUGCAGCUGUAUCCAGAGAUUAAAAGACACUAUCUGAAUUAUUUUUUAGUUUCCAUAUUUAGGUAAAAUCUGUACAGGCAAAAUUCCAUAAAUGCACUCUUCAAAAGAUUAAAGAUUGAAUGCAAGUAAACCUUUAAAGAAAGAAAAGAUGAAGAUGAAAGACCUUUUGUCAAGCUUGUUUUAACCACCAUACUGCAGUGAAAGUUGCUGAACUAUCUUUGGAUCCAUUCUUUGCUUUGCAUGCUGGUACCAGCCCCAGAACUGGACUCUGGGUAAUCCAUGACUGUUUCCUCUGAUGUGUGUCUUCCGGACAUAAAGACUCUCCUUCUUUGGACUGUGCCUUGCCGCUCGAUAUAGAGGACCUGUUAUGCUGUUACAGGGUCAACCAAUUAAAUUAGGGUUAUUGUUUUAACUCGAUUCCUUAUAUUGCUUGUUUUGUAUUCUCUUGUAUUUGUUUUAUUUUUGUUGAUCAUAUUAGGUAUAAGAGAAAAGUAUGCUUUAUUGUUCUAUAUUGGUUUCUUUUUCCUUUUUGUUUUUCCUCUCAUCUGGCCUAUUUACUCUCCUCUGUUUAUUUAUUCUUUCUGGCUAUUCUCAGCUAUUUUCUCCUUCAGACACAUUCUCUGCUUUUAUGACCCCCCUCUCACCCCCCUUCCUCCCUUCCAUUUGUUGUAUGUGAUGUGUAUCUAUAUCAGAAUGAUCAGUAUUGCUUUAGACCUGAGGAAGAGAGGAAAACUCUUGAAAGCUUAUCUUUUAAAUAUUAUGUUAGUCCAAUAAAAAAGGUAUCACUGCGUACUGCAA